CUACGGGGGGCUGCAGUGGGGAAUAUUGCACAAUGGAGGAAACUCUGAUGCAGCCAUGCCGCGUGUGUGAAGAAGGCCCGAGGGUUGUAAAGCACUUUCAAUUGGGAGGAAGGUUAGUAAGUUGAUACCUUGCUAGCUUGACGUUACCUUUAGAAGAAGCACCGGCUAACUCUGUGCCAGCAGCCGCGGUAAUACAGAGGGUGCAAGCGUUAUUCGGAAUUACUGGGCGUAAAGCGCGCGUAGGCGGACUGUUAAGUCGGUUGUGAAAGCCCUGGGCUCAACCUAGGAACUGCAUCCGAUACUGGCAAUCUAGAGUUUAAGAGAGGGAAGUGGAAUUCCAGGUGUAGCAGUGAAAUGCGUAGAUAUCUGGAGGAACAUCAGUGGCGAAGGCGACUUCCUGGCUUAAAACUGACGCUGAGGUGCGAAAGCGUGGGUAGCGAACGGGAUUAGAUACCCCAGUAGUC
rnacentral:rRNA from 1 species